GACGAACGCUGGCGGCGUGCUUAACACAUGCAAGUCGAGCGGUAAGGCCCUUUCGGGGGUACGACGAGCGGCGAACGGGUGAGUAACACGUGGGUGACCUGCCCUUACGCUCUGGGAUAAGCCUGGGAAACUGGGUCUAAUACCGGAUAUGACUCCAUAACGCAUGUUGUGGGGUGGAAAGCCUUGUGCGGCUAGGGAGUGGGCCCGGCGGCCUAUCAGCUUGUUGGUGGGGUGAUGGCCACCAAGGCGACGA
rnacentral:rRNA from 1 species